rfam:Rhizobium sp. R1-200B2 contig_6, whole genome shotgun sequence.
GAAGCUCUAACGGGGUGCCGCAUCUGCGGCUGAGAGGCUUUGCCAACCCGCGGAACCUGAUCCGGUUGAUACCGGCGGAGGGAUUAGACGGCUUCUGAUC